rnacentral:lncRNA from 1 species
CCAGAUGAUCAAUGCAUCAUCCGCAUGGCAUGCAUUACAAGUAAUGCAUGCCAUGCACAGGCAAGUUCCCCGAUGCCUACGAAGCCUCCUAUUACGUCUUUGGCCUGUACGGAGUUGAAUUCCCUGGCUAAGUUCCCAACGGCCGAAGGACAACAAUAGUGUCAUGCCAUCGUAUAUAUGCUUAAUGUAUGCUCCGCCGUAAGGCAUGACAUCACUGUUCCCUACCUGCACAACCCCAACGUGCUUGGUCAAAGCCACCUCGACAAUCAAAGGGAGGAAGCGCCAGCAUCACGCCAUAAGCAAAUAAAACAUUUUGGUUUGUCAAUUAAAUAAUGGCUACACUUACUAAUGGGUAACCCUGGGAAAGCGUAACGGCCACCAAAGUUACAGUACGUUUGGAACAUUGCUUCGGCUGUACGGAAGGUACGAUUUGCGCUGGCGGAGGCCUUCGCCACAGACCUGCAGGUUGUUAACAACGGGCUUCGCUUGACACAGGAAACCUGGCAUAGGUUCAAGCUAUUCAAAGCAUGCAGCAGCUCUAACUCAAUUACCAGGCUCCAACUCCUUAUCCUC